rnacentral:rRNA from 1 species
AACGAACGCUGGCGGCAGGCUUAACACAUGCAAGUCGAGCGCCCCGCAAGGGGAGCGGCAGACGGGUGAGUAACGCGUGGGAACGUACCCUUUGCUACGGAAUAGCUCCGGGAAACUGGAAUUAAUACCGUAUGUGCCCUACGGGGGAAAGAUUUAUCGGCAAAGGAUCGGCCCGCGUUGGAUUAGCUAGUUGGUGGGGGAAUGGCCUACCAAGGCGACGAUCCAUAGCUGGUCUGAGAGGAUGAUCAGCAACAUUGGGACUGAGACACGGCCCAAACUCCUACGGGAGGCAGCAGUGGGGAAUAUUGGACAAUGGGCGCAAGCCUGAUCCAGCCAUGCCGCGUGAGUGAUGAAGGCCUUAGGGUUGUAAAGCUCUUUCACCGGAGAAGAUAAUGACGGUAUCCGGAGAAGAAGCCCCGGCUAACUUCGUGCCAGCCGCCGCCGUAAUAC